rnacentral:rRNA from 1 species
UCCAAGGCUAAAUACUCCUGACUGACCGAUAGUGAACCAGUACCGUGAGGGAAAGGCGAAAAGAACCCCGGCGAGGGGAGUGAAAAAGAACCUGAAACCGUGUACGUACAAGCAGUGGGAGCACCUUCGGGUGUGACUGCGUACCUUUUGUAUAAUGGGUCAGCGACUUAUAUUCUGUAGCAAGGUUAACCGUAUAGGGGAGCCGCAGGGAAACCGAGUCUUAACUGGGCGUUAAGUUGCAGGGUAUAGACCCGAAACCCGGUGAUCUAGCCAUGGGCAGGUUGAAGGUUGGGUAACACUAACUGGAGGACCGAACCGACUAAUGUUGAAAAAUUAGCGGAUGACUUGUGGCUGGGGGUGAAAGGCCAAUCAAACCGGGAGAUAGCUGGUUCUCCCCGAAAGCUAUUUAGGUAGCGCCUCGUGAAUUCAUCUUCGGGGGUAGAGCACUGUUUCGGCUAGGGGGUCAUCCCGACUUACCAACCCGAUGCAAACUACGAAUACCGAAGAAUGUUAUCACGGGAGACACACGGCGGGUGCUAACGUCCGUCGUGAAGAGGGAAACAACCCAGACCGCCAGCUAAGGUCCCAAAGUCACAGUUAAGUGGGAAACGAUGUGGGAAGGCACAGACAGCCAGGAUGUUGGCUUAGAAGCAGCCAUCAUUUAAAGAAAGCGUAAUAGCUCACUGGUCGAGUCGGCCUGCGCGGAAGAUGUAACGGGGCUAAACUGUGCACCGAAGCUGCGGCAGCGACACUUAGGUGUUGUUGGGUAGGGGAGCGUUCUGUAAGCCUGCGAAGGUGGCCUGUGAGGGUUGCUGGAGGUAUCAGAAGUGCGAAUGCUGACAUAAGUAACGAUAAUGCGGGUGAAAAGCCCGCACGCCGGAAGACCAAGGGUUCCUGUCCAACGUUAAUCGGGGCAGGGUGAGUCGACCCCUAAGGCGAGGCCGAAAGGCGUAGUCGAUGGGAAACAGGUUAAUAUUCCUGUACUUGGUGUUACUGCGAAGGGGGGACGGAGAAGGCUAUGUUAGCCGGGCGACGGUUGUCCCGGUUUAAGCAUGUAGGCGGAGGUUCCAGGUAAAUCCGGUACCUUUUAACGCUGAGGUGUGAUGACGAGGCACUACGGUGCUGAAGUAACAAAUGCCCUGCUUCCAGGAAAAGCCUCUAAGCAUCAGGUAACAUUGAAUCGUACCCCAAACCGACACAGGUGGUCAGGUAGAGAAUACCAAGGCGCUUGAGAGAACUCGGGUGAAGGAACUAGGCAAAAUGGUGCCGUAACUUCGGGAGAAGGCACGCUGAUAUGUAGGUGAAG